rnacentral:rRNA from 1 species
UGCAAGUCGAGCGGCAGCGGAUCCUUCGGGAUGCCGGCGAGCGGCGGACGGGUGAGGAAUGCAUCGGAAUCUGCCUCUUUGUGGGGGAUAACGUAGGGAAACUUACGCUAAUACCGCAUACGUCCUACGGGAGAAAGUGGGGGACCUUCGGGCCUCACGCAGAGAGAUGAGCCGAUGCCGGAUUAGCUAGUUGGCGGGGUAAAGGCCCACCAAGGCGACGAUCCGUAGCUGGUCUGAGAGGAUGAUCAGCCACACUGGGACUGAGACACGGCCCAGACUCCUACGGGAGGCAGCAGUGGGGAAUAUUGGACAAUGGGCGCAAGCCUGAUCCAGCCAUGCCGCGUGAGUGAAGAAGGCCUUCGGGUUGUAAAGCUCUUUUGUCCGGAAAGAAAUCCUGUCGGCUAAUACCCGGCGGGGAUGACGGUACCGGAAGAAUAAGCACCGGCUAACUUCGUGCCAGCAGCCGCGGUAAUACGAAGGGUGCAAGCGUUACUCGGAAUUACUGGGCGUAAAGCGUGCGUAGGUGGUUCGUUAAGUCUGAUGUGAAAGCCCUGGGCUCAACCUGGGAACUGCAUUGGAUACUGGCGAUCUGGAGUGCGGUAGAGGGUAGCGGAAUUCCCGGUGUAGCAGUGAAAUGCGUAGAUAUCGGGU